AGCAGUAGCCGCGGUAAAACGUAGGUGGCAAGCGUUGUCCGGAAUUAUUGGGCGUAAAGCGCGCGCAGGCGGAUAGGUCAGUCUGUCUUAAAAGUUCGGGGCUUAACCCCGUGAUGGGAUGGGAACUGCCAAUCUAGAGUAUCGGAGAGGAAAGUGGAAUUCCUAGUGUAGCGGUGAAAUGCGUAGAUAUUAGGAAGAACACCAGUGGCGAAGGCGACUUUCUGGACGAAAACUGACGCUGAGGCGCGAAAGCCAGGGGAGCGAACGGGAUUAGAUACCCGCGUAGUCCCUGUCUCUUAUACA
rnacentral:rRNA from 1 species